UGGGGGUGCGCAAGACCAGGACGACGCCGCUCCAUCCCCAGAGUGACGGGUUGGUGGAGCGGUUUAACCGCACCCUGGCCACCCAGCUCGCCAUCCUCACCAGCCAGCACCAGCGGGACUGGGACCGCCACCUGCCCUUGGUCCUGUGGUCCUAUCGGACGGCAGUGCAGGAGUCCAGCCACUGCACACCGGCUGCCCUCAUGUUCGGGCGGGAGCUCCGGACACCGGUGGACUUGGUGUUCGGGUCUCCGCCCGAGCCUGAGAUCGCUGGGGGUGCGGCUAUGGACUAUUUCCGCAGGCUGAGGGAUCGCCUGCUGGUGGUCCACGACUACACCCGCCAGGCUCAGGCUGCCUCAGGGGUGAGGCAGAAGAGGGGCUAUGACACUCGCUGCCGGGGACGAGCGUUCACACCUGGGGACAGGGUGUGGGUGUACUGUCCCGUCAGAAAGAGGGGGGUCUGCCCUAAGCUGCGGAGCCACUGGCAGGGACCGGGGGAAAUCCUCGACAGGGUGUCCGAGGUGGUGUACCGGCUGCGGAUGCCGGGCGCCCGGGGGCGUGUGGUAGUGUUGCACCAGGACAGACUCUCGCCGUACCGCCCCCUCGCCCCAGUUGUUGCUGAUGAGGGAACUCCUCGUGGUUCCCCUGCCGGCUCCCCUGUCCCUGCCGGCUCCCCGGAUGGGGCCGUUGGCCCUGCGGCUGUCGCCCCUAGGGGGGCUCAGCGGCCGAACCGGCGGCGCCGGGCCCCUGAACACUUUAAGGACUAUGUGUCGGGUGAUGGGGUCGUCGGGGACGACUGACCCCUCAGAUGGGAGCUGUGUAGCGACCAGUGUUCGCGGGUUCAUUCACUUCCGGGUUCGUGCCGGGGAUUCUGGGGGAUUCCCGGCGCGCAUGUUGUUGUGUUAUUGUUGCUGUUAUUGUUGUUGUUCUGGGUCCGUUACUAGUUGUUGGGGUUAUUAAUGAUCAGUGGGGUUAAUGGGUUGGGAUUGUUAAUGGGUUGGGAUUGUUCAUUGUUGUGUGUUGUUCUGUUGUUGUUGCCACCGCCACCGAGAAUGACUUGUGUGUUAGUUAGGUUUGCUGUUCUAUGUACGUGCGAAUGAGUCAAUAAAAGAGGGUGUUCUGUAGUCGAGCGGUGUAUGAGGCACAGACCCCUAGUUGAC
ensembl:lncRNA